rnacentral:rRNA from 1 species
AGUGAACGCUGGCGGUAGGCCUAACACAUGCAAGUCGAACGGCAGCACAGUAAGAGCUUGCUCUUACGGGUGGCGAGUGGCGGACGGGUGAGGAAUACAUCGGAAUCUACUUUUUCGUGGGGGAUAACGUAGGGAAACUUACGCUAAUACCGCAUACGACCUACGGGUGGAAGCAGGGGAUCUUCGGGCCUUGCGCGAUUGAAUGAGCCGAUGUCGGAUUAGCUAGUUGGCGGGGUAAAGGCCCACCAAGGCGACGAUCCGUAGCUGGUCUGAGAGGAUGAUCAGCCACACUGGAACUGAGACACGGUCCAGACUCCUACGGGAGGCAGCAGUGGGGAAUAUUGGACAAUGGGCGCAAGCCUGAUCCGGCCAUACCGCGUGGGUGAAGAAGGCCUUCGGGUUGUAAAGCCCUUUUGUUGGGAAAGAAAAGCAGCAGGUUAAUACCCCGCUGUUCUGACGGUACCCAAAGAAUAAGCACCGGCUAACUUCGUG